UACGGGGGGGAGCAAGCGUUGUUCGGAUUUACUGGCGUAAAGGGCGCGUAGGCGGUCAGCACAAGUCAGUUGUGAAAUCUCCGGGCUUAACUCGGAAAGGUCAACUGAUACUGUGCGACUAGAGUGCAGAAGGGGGCAACUGGAAUUCUCGGUGUAGCGGUGAAAUGCGUAGAUAUCGAGAGGAACACCUGCGGCGAAGGCGGGUGCUGGGCUGACACUGACGCUGAUGCGCGAAAGCCGGGGGAGCGAACGGG
rnacentral:rRNA from 1 species